AAAAAAAAAAAACUUAUAUUAAGUUUGAUUCGAACAAUUGAAUUUAAAUAUUAUGAUGUCUCGAGUUUAAAUCCUAUAAUAUAUAUAAUUUUUAAUUUUUAUAUAAAAAUAUUAUAAAAUUACCCUCAAAUUAAUAUAUUUUACUUUAUAAAAAUAAUAAAAUCAAAAAUAAGAUUUAGGUAUUAUCAAUUCAAUCAUACUCUUAAUAUAUAAUACAAAACUUUUGGAAAACUGGACAUUAUACAGGAAAAAGAUAGUCUAGCCGCCUGGUCCCUCACAUAUCCCUUAGCCAAGAAAAUCAUGGAAAUGUUAGGCAGCCUCGGAAUGGUAAUUUAAUUAAUUUAUAUAAUUAUUUUUAAAAACAACACUUAAUAAAUUUAAGAUAUUUAAGAAGGAAAAAAGUUCUAGCAAAUAAAAUUUUAGUUGGGUUAUGGUAAAGUUACAGUAUUCAAGAUCAAGUUUCAUUUCGUAUAAAUUCGAUCUAAUCUAUUUUUGCAAUGAUUAAAUUCUACAUGUAAUGAUUCGAAUGUUGUAUAAUCUUUAUAAUUGUUCAUAUGAUUGUAUUUUUGAUUUUCUAAAAAAAUAUCGAAUUUAUACAUAAAUUUUAGUUUAAUAUACAAUUUGAUACAUGUUUUUUGAUUUGGUGGAACUAUAUACAUGAAAUUUGAAUUACGGUUUAUAUGUAUACAUAAAACUUUUGAUUCAACUGUGCACAUUUAAAGAAAUGAAUACAUAUAUUUAUUUUUAUAUUGGAUUAAUAUAAUUGUUUAUGUGUGCAAUAUAUUAAUGUAAAAUGGUGCUAAUACGAUAACGUUGUCAAUGAUUUGUGGUAAUUGAAUCAAAUCAAAUUUCACGUAUGACAUUACACACGGGAUCAAAGUUCAUGUAUAAUUUUAAUAUUUCUCUUCAUUCUUUAAAAAUUCUUUUAUAUAAAAAUUUUAAUAAAAAUAGGAUUUAGUUCUAAAUAUUGUAUUAAUAUUUUAUUUAAUACCCCGUCAUUGUACAUAUUGUAUGCAUCAUUAAUUAAUAAUAAAAUGAGACUUGGUGUAAAAUAAAAAAAAAACAUUGAAGGGCUUGACUUUUUAAACAUAAUCAAAUAUAAAAUAUAAAUAUUUUAUUUUUCUUUUGGAUUUUAAAUUUUAGAUUUUAACUUUUGGGUUUGAAUCCGAAUUUUAAAAUCUGAAUUUGGUAUUUGAUUUUUAUUGUUAAACUAUUAAAAUUAAUAUUAAUUUUUAUAAAAUAUUCAAUAUAGUUGAUUUUACUGCAUGAAAUAUUAUCACUUAAAAUAUUAGGCUACUUCAUAUGAGUUAUUGUAGUAUGAUUAUUUUAUUGUCUGCUUAGCUAGCAUGUCACUGGGAUUGGGGUGCUGCCAUCAUAUAUUCAACUAUUGGAACCUCUCCAGCUAUUUCUCGUAACAUGCAUGAAAUACCACUCACACAUUCAAAACUGGACUGUUUUUUAUUUUUUUUUCUAAUAUUGUUUCAUUUAUUAAUGGCCUUUGACUUUGACGAAGGUUAAAAACAAGUUUUAAGUGGGAUUUACCAUGAUUACAUUACAUUACGUACAUGGUAAACCCAAAAUCUAUAUAAAGGCAGUGGAGGGGUUGUUUAAGAGCAGAGCCAAACCCCAGUGUUUGUAGCAAAUAUGGGGUCUCCAAUCACCUCCCACUUUCUCACUCUCCUCCUCUUCAUCAUCUCUCUUAGCUUGCCUUCUCAAACUCUAGCAAAUUACCCUUACUCAUCUCCUCCUCCUCCGCCUCCUAAGGAGUACUCACCACCCCCUUACUACUACAAGUCACCACCUCCUCCUCCUCCGGUCUACUCCCCACCACCACCCAAGGAGCCUUACAAGUAUAAGUCUCCACCACCUCCUCCACCAGUGCAUUAUCCUCCACCCCCUUACGAGUACAAGUCUCCUCCGCCACCCCCGCCAUCACCACCCAAGCAUCCCUAUAAGUACAAGUCUCCACCUCCACCAUCACCACCCAAGCACCCUUACAAGUACAAGUCUCCACCACCCCCACCAUCACCACCCAAGCACCCCUACAAGUACAAGUCUCCUCCACCACCUCCACCAUCACCACCCAAGCACCCCUACAAGUAUAAGUCUCCACCACCCCCACCAUCACCACCCAAGCAUCCUUACAAGUACAAGUCUCCACCACCACCACCACCAUCACCACCCAAGCACCCCUACAAGUACAAGUCUCCUCCACCUCCACCAUCACCACCCAAGCAUCCUUACAAGUACAAGUCUCCACCACCACCACCAUCACCACCCAAGCACCCCUACAAGUACAAGUCUCCUCCACCCCCACCAUCACCACCCAAGCACCCUUACAAGUACAAGUCUCCACCACCACCUCCACCAUCACCACCCAAGCACCCUUACAAGUACAAGUCUCCACCCCCACCAUCACCACCCAAGCAUCCCUACAAGUACAAGUCUCCACCCCCACCCCCACCCCCACCCUCACCACCCAAGCACCCCUACAAGUACAAGUCUCCACCCCCA
rnacentral:lncRNA from 1 species